rnacentral:ncRNA from 1 species
UUUAUUGAGAGUUUGAUCCUGGCUCAGGAUGAACGCUGGCGGCGUGCCUUAGGCAUGCAAAUGGAACGAGCUGAGACCGCAAGGUCGAAGCGAGUCGUGGACGGGUGAGUAACACGUAGGAAUCUACCUUACAAGUGGGGAAUACCUCGCCGAAAGGCGAGCUAAUACCGCAUAGUAUCCGGCUUUGCCGGAUUAAAGGGCUUAACUGCCCGCUUUGAGAUGAGCCUGCGUCCUAUCAGCUAGUUGGCGGGAUAAUAGCCCACCAAGGCGAUGACGGGUAGCUGGACUGAGAGGUCGGUCAGCCACAGCGCAACUGCGACACGGUGCGCACACCUACGGGUGGCAGCAACUAGGAAUAUUCGGCAAUGGGCGAAAGCCUGACCGAGCGACGCCGCGUGGAGGAAGAAGGUCUUCGGAUCGUAAACUCCUUUUGUCUCAACAUAUGUUGGGAAGAAUAACCAGCUGCUAACUACGUGCCAGAAGCCUCGGUAAUACGUAGGCUGGAAGCGUUAUCCGGAUUUAUUGGGCGUAAAGCGUUCGUAGGUGGUUUUCCAAGUCAUGGGUGAAAGCCUGCGGCUCAACCGUAGAAUUGCUUAUGAUACUGGGAGACUUUGAGGUCGUUAGGGGGUGCUGGAACUGUCGGUGGAGCAGUGAAAUGCGUUGAUAUCGACAGGAACACCAAGGGCGAAGGCAGGCACCUGGGACGAAUCUGACACUGAGGAACGAAAGCUAGGGGAGCGAAAGGGAUGGAGUUAAUCUCUGGUCCCCUCCGGUGGUAACGCCGGAGUAAAAAUUUG